AAUGAACGUUGGCGGUGCGCCUAACACAUGCAAGUCGAGCGGAAGUAAUUCAGCGGCAGACGGGUGAGUAACGCGUGGGAAUCUGCCCUUUAGUGGAGAAUACCUUCGAGAAAUCGGAGUUAAUACUGCAUACGUUCCUUGAAUAAAGGAAGAAAGAUGGCCUCUUGCUGUCGCUAAAGGAUGAGCCUGCGUACUAUUAGCUAGUUGGUAGGGUAAUGGCCUACCAAGGCGAUGAUGGUUAGCCGGCCUGAGAGGGUGAUCGGCCACAUU
rnacentral:rRNA from 1 species